rnacentral:rRNA from 1 species
GCACCACAAGGCGUGGAGCGUGCGGUUUAAUUGGAGUCAACACCGGAAACCUUACCGGGGGCGACAGCAGGUUGAAGGCCAGAUUGACGAUCUUGCCAGACAAGCUGAGAGGAGGUGCAUGGCCGUCGCCAGUUCGUGCCGUGAGGUGUCCUGUUAAGUCAGGCAACGAUCGAGACCCACGUUCCCUGUUGCUACCAAAGAAAGUUUCCAAGGGGCACACUGGGAGGACAGCCGCCGAUAAGGCGGAGGAAGGAGUGGGCCACGGCAGGUCAGUAUGCCCCGAAUCCCCCGGGCCACACGCGUGCUGCAAUGGCCGGUACAAUGGGUUCCGACCUCGUGAGAGGAGGGUAAUCCCUAAAGCCGAUCGUAGUUUGGAUCGAGGGCUGCAACCCGCCCUCGUGAAACUGGAAUGCCUAGUAAUCGCGUGUCAUUAACGCGCGGUGAAUACGUCCCUGCUCCUUGCACACACCGCCCGUCGUCCCACUCGAGUGGGUUUUGGGUGAGGCGCGGUCCUUGGUGGCUGUGUCGAGCCUGAGGUUCGCGAGAGGGGAA